rnacentral:lncRNA from 1 species
CUAGAAUCCUGAAGUGGGAUCAAUCUCAGGGACCACACUGAGCACGCAAGUGUAACCAAGCUAGGGAUCUGGGGCUGAGAAUGUUUGCCGUCCCUCCUAUGGUGCAUGCUGGGAUUGUACACAUGAGAUUAAGCCUGGAGUGGUCUGGGAAAACUCGCCUCUUUCUCUUGCAGGAAGUAGGCGUGGGUAUUGUGUGUUCUCUUAAACCAUGGAUGUGAGUCUGUGAAGAGCUGGCCCCGAGUGGAUCCGGAGGUCACCGGAGCUUUCCUUCCCACGCUCAGCCCACAGCGUUGCCUCAGUUCUCAGUUCAGUGAACCCCGUAAAAGCACUGCUUUAGGUACUUCCCAAAGAACCUGCAAAAUGGAGUUGGAUGAAGUGAUCUGUGAGGAUAAUCGCCCUCGCCUACAUCUAGAGUCGACUUUUUUCCCCUCUAGAGAGGUCUGGGCUGGUUGCGGCUCCUAGGAUCCAGAGAUGCCAGGCUGUGGGCCCGACUCCUCUUCAUGAGCCCCUCCUGACUCAAAGGUCAUCUGAUUAAGAACUCAAGUGAGUCGAGGCCUCCAGCAGGCCAGGGCCACCGUGAGGGCACAGGAUCCGCAGGGCAGUUAGGCCGUGAAAUCAGUGGUUCACUGGAGGGUUUCUGCCCUCGCAGCCUCCCGGGGCUGCUAGAUAA